UUUAACUGAAGAGUUUGAUCAUGGCUCAGAUUGAACGCUGGCGGCAGGCUUAACACAUGCAAGUCGAGCGGGGGAAGGUAGCUUGCUACUGGACCUAGCGGCGGACGGGGGAGUAAUGCUUAGGAAUCUGCCUAUUAGUGGGGGACAACAUCUCGAAAGGGAUGCUAAUACCGCAUACGUCCUACGGGAGAAAGCAGGGGAUCUUCGGACCUUGCGCUAAUAGAUGAGCCUAAGUCGGAUUAGCUAGUUGGUGGGGUAAAGGCCUACCAAGGCGACGAUCUGUAGCGGGUCUGAGAGGAUGAUCCGCCACACUGGGACUGAGACACGGCCCAGACUCCUACGGGAGGCAGCAGUGGGGAAUAUUGGACAAUGGGGGGAACCCUGAUCCAGCCAUGCCGCGUGUGUGAAGAAGGCCUUAUGGUUGUAAAGCACUUUAAGCGAGGAGGAGGCUACUUUAGUUAAUACCUAGAGAUAGUGGACGUUACUCGCAGAAUAAGCACCGGCUAACUCUGUGCCAGCAGCCGCGGUAAUACAGAGGGUGCGAGCGUUAAUCGGAUUUACUGGGCGUAAAGCGUGCGUAGGCGGCUUAUUAAGUCGGAUGUGAAAUCCCCGAGCUUAACUUGGGAAUUGCAUUCGAU
rnacentral:rRNA from 1 species